rnacentral:rRNA from 1 species
UACGAAGGGGGCUAGCGUUGUUCGGAAUACUGGGCGUAAAGGGCGCGUAGGCGGUCCUGAUCGUCGGAUGUGAAAGGCCUGGGCUCAACCUGGGAACUGCAUCCGAUACGGCGGGACUGGAGUGUGGGAGAGGUUGGUGGAAUUCCCAGUGUAGAGGUGAAAUUCGUAGAUAUUGGGAAGAACACCGGUGGCGAAGGCGGCCAACUGGACCACAACUGACGCUGAGGCGCGAAAGCGUGGGGAGCAAACAGG